rnacentral:rRNA from 1 species
UACAGAGACUGCAAGCGUUAUUCGGAUUCACUGGGCGUAAAGGGUGCGCAGGCGGCCGUGUGUGUCAGGUGUGAAAGCCCGGGGCUUAACCCCGGAAUUGCGCCUGAAACUACAUGGCUAGAGCAUUGGAGAGGGUAGCGGAAUUCACGGUGUAGCAGUGAAAUGCGUAGAUAUCGUGAGGAACACCAGAGGCGAAGGCGGCUACCUGGACAAUUGCUGACGCUGAGGCGCGACAGCGUGGGGAGCAAACAGG